CCAACCCAGGGAUCGAACCCAUGUCUCUUGCAUUGGCCAGCAGAUUCUUUACCAUUAUGCCAUCUGGGAAGCAAUAAUUCCUGUUGAGAACUCCCCAAAGAGCAGAUCUUGUGUAAAUCCUUUAUAUAGAUUCUCCUAUUUAAUUCUUAUGAUAGAUUUUUGUCUUUUUAAGAAAAGAAACUGAGGCUCAAAAAGGUUACAUAACUAGCACAAGAUCCCUCAGCAAGUAGUAGAGGGACUCAAACCCAGAUAUGUCUAAAGCCUGGCAUUCCUAACGAGCAUACUCUGAACUUUGCAGGGAUACUGGAUGAAAGUUAGGCCUGCCAGCUAGUGGGCUGUUCAUUUUUACAGAGGGAGGUACCGAGGAGAACAAAUGAGUAUUUAAUCAGCACGGCCAGUUUUAGGGGGUUAAACUUUCUUCACCUUCAGUGGAGUGGUCAGUGCCCCCUUGUUAUCACUUCGUUUUGUUUUCUGACUACCGAACAAUGUUUAACGGAAAGCUCUUAACUGUCUUCCGGUUUUAGUCAAAGAGUCUGGCAGAAACGAGCUGACCUGCAGGUACAUCUACAACAAGGGCUUUGGGGCUCCUUGGGCCACAGACAAACAGACCUGGAGACAAAGUCCUUUAAGAGUCAAGGAGGAGCUACGGGCCACUUUGGCGCUACGUUGUUAUAAACCAGAGUGGGCUUUCUUUUCAACGAUGACAUGAAAACAAGGAGAUGAAUCAGUUCUGCGCUGCCCCAUUCCCCAGGUAGCGUUUUCUUACACUUUUACAGAACGGAAGAGUUUUCUCUUGAAGUUUGAAGAAAACAAGGGAAACAUGUGCCUGGGAAGCGCCGAGUAUGGUUUUGACUCUGGCUGUGAGGUUCACGCUGUACUCAUAACAUCCUGUUCUUCUCUGCUGGCUGUGAUGUGGUAGAUAGCAGUCCCUCCCUGGGCUGUUAACAGCUGAGCUCAUUUUUCAUAAAGAUGCUGCUCUGUGAGACUGAGGAAGUGGGCCAUGGCCACCUCCUCCUUCGUUACUCUUACGGUUAAGGAUGGGUUUUCCCAGUGGCCCUUGCCAUCUUCUCUAAAAUUAGGUCUUUAAUGCCUCUGGGAUAUGUGGCAAACUUAAAAUUUUACUGGAAGCCCACAGAGUAUUAGUGAGUGGGAAAUGUGCCUCAAAAAAGUCAUUUGUUUAGCAUAGGAGAAGUCUGCUCUGUCAAAACCUGCAGCUACGGAGUCAAAGAGGAAGAGUGGCUGCUGGGGGAAGGUGUGAUGCCACCUGAUACUGAGAAAAAGCAGAGUAAGAGCGAUCAUCCUAGGGACUGGGAUUUCUGCCUUUGGAUCCAUCCCUUCGGUAGGGGACUGGAGCGCAUAGAGCUGACUUUCUUACACAAUAUACUUAUCAGUUUCCAAAUGACCUUGGGCCUAAAAAUCACAUCUAUUACAAAGACACAAAUGGAAUAAGGAAUAGAAUCUCACUUCUGUGGUCAGGGAGCUGACCCAAAAUUAAUUCAUUGUAUUUGGAGAUUCUGAAGGCAUAACUAGAAUAGGAAUGACUUCUGCUAGUCAGUUACAAAGGAAAUUGUUCCCCUUCUGUCUUCAGUGAGUUGCAGAGUCACUGGUUUGCCAUCCAGGAGAUGGACAACAUAGUGGGUGUGUUUUUUGAAUGGCUUUUAUUAGAGAGCAAGAUGGUAUCCAUUCUUGCGAUUGUGCUUCUCAUGGGGCAGUUCCAAAAUUUGCCUCAUCACUGGAAUAAGGAAGAUGCUUUAAAAGGACAGAGAGAUCCUUUGUCAAACUGAGACCUACUGAAUAGCACCAGGUAAGAACAAAGCCAUUCAUAAUUUCAUCUGGGUGAUUCUUUUAAUCAGCUAGGGAGAAACCACUCUAGUCUUCCCUCCUUGGGAUAGAUAAAUUAAUCAGAUUAGUAACUUGCCAUUUGAGAUCUGUAGGCAUCACGUAUUGGACAGGCCAGCUUUCAGUUAGGGGUGGAAGGCAGGGUAUGAAAAGUGAAGAUUAGAGGGACGUGGCAGAAGCAAAAUUGGACUGAUGUUAGCAGCAUGGUAGAAUCAUAUAUGAAGGCCCCAGAUGGACAUAGAGGAUUCUUGAGAUGGUUGGCUGUCUGGCUACCCACUCCAGUAUCCUGGCCUGGAGAAUUCCAUGGACUGUAUAGUCCACAGGGUCACAAAGAGUCGGACAAGACUGAGCGACUUUAACUUUCACUUUAGCAACUAAACAAUAAAACAAAGGACACCACAUGCCCAUUUACUCAUUCAGUCAUUUAAUUCAGCAUCUUUUAUUGAGUAGAAUCCAUGCUUGUUGGGUAUGGGGGCAGGGGUUGGGGAACUUAAUAAAUAAAACACAGUCUCUUCUUCCUUCUAAAUGGCCCCAGUUCUAAGGGCAUGUAAGAAAUUAAGAGGAAAUAAUCAGCUGUCCCUGGGCAGGAGAAAAGGGUAUGCCAGAGAAAUCUUAGAGAAGGAAGUGCCUGACCAAGGUGUUUAAGAAUGAAAGGGAGAUUCACCUGGAAAAUAGACCCAGUCUUCUCAGGCAAAGGCAAUAGCUUGAACAAAGGCAAAAUGGCCUGUGGGUCUAUGGACGUCUAUGAAUCAAUAACGUGCCAUUAUAGUGCGAAAUGGAAAGUGGUGGGAUAUCUGGUGAUUUGGCAGCAUCCAAAUCAUGCGGGGUCUUCAGUGUCCACACUUCUGUUCUAAGGAAAGACCUUAGCACAACUCCAACACGUGACCAUAUAAACACACAACAGAAGAGAACAGAGGCUGUUCAAAGACACAGGUGAGUAUUCAUGAACUCUUGCUUUUAUUAUGUAUAUACCUUGGAAUCAGGGUUGUUUAAGAUUCUACUUCUCAGAGAAGCUAGAUAGAUUAGUAUAGCAACUCACAACUUAUAGAAAAUUAGUAUAUUUUUUCCUUAGCUGCAGGAUAUGUUUUUUAAAAAAAUGAAAACCACUUCUUGCUUCGAUUUUAAAAUACCUUAAUUUGAGAGACUGUUAGUCAUGAAGGUGUUUCCAUAGCAAACAUGUGUGGGACAUCCUAGCUUUGUUGGCAGUGGUUCAGGGGAACUUAUCUUAUUAAAUUGGGACAAGGCCUGGCUUGAUGGAGGAUAAGGUCAUGGCACUUUUCCCAUAGCAUGAGGCCUCCAUUUAAGGGCAAGAUAAAGGAAAGGCAAAGAGCAAGAAGAGAAAGUGCUGGAAUGAAAACAAGUAACAAAAGGAAGAUAAAAAUGGAAAUCCCAGUUCAAUGUGAAUAAUAGGCAUGCAAAUGGUGCUGCUAAAAUAGGAAGGAACAUUACUUUUCAAAAAGGCAAAGCAAAGGAAAAUUGUAGUAGCAGAAGCAUUUUGCAUGGUAAAAUUGUACACUGUGUAUGCCUCUCAGAAGCAAAGCCACCUACUCUAAUUUUUCCCAGCACGAUGCUGUGAAUCUGGAGAAAUUUGGAGCAGAUGCAGACACAGGGAGAACUCUUUGUGAAGAUGAAGGCAGAGAUCAGGGUGAGGUUUCUACACACCAAGGAACUCCAGUGGUCACCAGCAGACCACCAGAAGCUGAGGAAGAGGCAUGAGAGCAAUCUUCUCUGCACAGCCAGAAGGAACCAACCUUGCUGAUACCUUGGUGUUAGACCUCUGGCCUCCAGAACCGUGACAAUAAAUUUCUGUUCUGUA